rnacentral:RNase_P_RNA from 1 species
AGAGUCGACCAGACAAUCGCGCUUUUACGCUCUCUAGUUAGAGCAUAAAAGGGAGGAAAGUCCGGGCUCCAUAGGGUAGAACGCCAGAUAACAUCUGGGCAGCGCGAGCUGACGGCAAGUGCAGCAGAGAGAAGACCGCCCCUCACCUAACUUCACAGAAGCUAGGUGAGGGGUAAGGGUGAAAGGGUGCGGUAAGAGCGCACCGCGCAACGGGUAACCGUUUGUGGCAAGGUAAACCCCGUUCGGAGCAAAAUCAAAUAGGAAUACAUUGACGCGACCCGCGUCGUAUUCGGGUAGAUUGCUUGAGGAUUAUGGCGACAUAAUUCCAGAUGAAUGAUUGUCCACGACAGAACCCGGCUUAUCGGUCGACUCUAUUU